UGGAAUGAAGUUUAGUGGUAGAGCAUCUGCCUAGCAAGCACAAGGCCCUGGGUUCACAUCUCAGCACUGCAA
rnacentral:tRNA from 1 species